rnacentral:tRNA from 1 species
UGUCCCGUGGUGUAACUGGCAACACGUCGCACUCUGGAUGCGAAGAGUUCAGGUUCGACCCCUGACGGGACAACAA